rnacentral:rRNA from 1 species
UCCCAAKWKCUUUCCAKAGAUGRARAGGUGCUMSCUUGCUAGAARUUGGUGACAGGUGCUGCACGGCUGUCSUCCKYUCGUGUCGUGAGAUGKUGGGUUAAAUCCCRCAACGARCGCAACCCUCGUCUWUAGUUGCUAACAGUUAGGCUGAGCACUCUAAAGAGACUGCCUCCGUAAGGAGGMSGAAGGUGAGGACGACGUCAAGUCAUCAUGGCCCUUACGGCCAGGKCUACACACGUGCUACAAUGGGGCGUACAGAGAGCUGCAAUACCGCGAGGUGGAGCCAAUCUCUUAAAGCGUCUCUCAGUUCGGAUUGUUCUCUGCAACUCGAGAACAUGAAGCUGGAAUCACUAGUAAUCGCAGAUCAGCUAUGCUGCGGUGAAUACGUUCCYGGGUCUUGUACUCACCGCCCGUCACACCAUGGGAGUUGAUUUCACCCGAAAUCGGGAUGCCAAACUGGCUACCGUAURCGGWGGAAUUAGCGAMUGGGGUGAAGUCGUAACAAGGUAACCGU